rnacentral:rRNA from 1 species
UACGUAGAAGACUAGUGUUAUUCAUCUUUUAAUAGGUUUAAAAGGGUCCUAGACGGUAUAUUAGUCUUAAACAUGGAUACGAUUAUACUAAGAGUUAUAUAUGAGGAGGUGAGUAUUAUGCAGUAGAGUUGAAAUUCGUGAUAGCAGUAACGCUGGUAACGGCGAAAGACAACCUUUUAUCUAUAACUGACGUUGAGGACGAAGGCUCGGGUGAACGAAGACAGG